rnacentral:rRNA from 1 species
CAAAGGUAGCAUAAUCAUUAGAGGUUUAAUUGGAAUCUGGUAUGAAUGGUUGGACAAAGGAAAUGCUGUCUUAAUAGUAAAAACUGAAGUUUACUUUUAAGUGAAAAGGCUUAAAUAUUUCAGAGGGACGAUAAGACCCUAUAAAGUUUUAUAGAAAAUUUAAAUUUGAUCAAUAUAUUAUUAAAGACUGAAUUUGAUUAUUCUAUUUCGUUGGGGCGAUGAGAGCAUAAUUAUAAGUAACUGCUAAAACAAGAAUUCUGUGAUAAGAGAAUUAUAAAUGAUGAUCCUUUUUAAAGAUUAAAAGACUAAGUUACUUUAGGGAUAACAGCGUUAUUUCUUUUGAGAGUUCAUAUCGAAAAAGAAGAUUGCGACCUCGAUGUUGAAUUAAAAUAUCUAUAUAACGAAGGUGUUAUAAAAGAGGGUCUGUUCGACCUUUAAAUUUUUACAUGAUUUGAGUUCAAACCGGA